AUUGAACGCUGGCGGCAGGCCUAACACAUGCAAGUCGAGCGGAGAGGCGGACGGGUGAGUAAUGUCUGGGAAACUGCCUGAUGGAGGGGGAUAACUCCUGGAAACGGUAGCUAAUCCCGCAUCCUUUCAGAUGAGUCUAGGUCGGAUUAGCUAGUUGGUGGGGUAACGGCCUACCAAGGCGACGAUCCGUAACUGGUCUGAGAGGAUGAUCAGUCACACUGGAACUGAGACACGGUCCAGACUCCUACGGGAGGCAGCAGUGGGGAAUAUUGGACAAUGGGCGAAAGCCUGAUCCAGCCAUGCCGCGUGUGUGAAGAAGGUCUUCGGAUUGUAAAGCACUUUAAGUUGGGAGGCGUUACCAACAGAAUAAGCACCGGCUAACUUCGUGCCAGCAGCCGCGGUAAUUC
rnacentral:rRNA from 1 species